rnacentral:rRNA from 1 species
GAUGAACGCUGGCGGCGUGCCUAAUACAUGCCAGUCGAGCGAACGGACGAGAAGCUUGCUUCUCUGAUGUUAGCGGCGGACGGGUGAGUAACACGUGGAUAACCUACCUAUAAGACUGGGAUAACUUCGGGAAACCGUAGCUAAUACCGGAUAAUAUUUUGAACCGCAUGGUUCAAAAGUGGAAGACGGUCUUGCUGUCACUUAUAGAUGGAUCCGCGCUGCAUUAGCUAGUUGGUAAGGUAACGGCUUACCAAGGCAACGAUGCAUAGCCGACCUGAGAGGGUGAUCGGCCACACUGGAACUGAGACACGGUCCAGACUCCUACGGGAGGCAGCAGUAGGGAAUCUUCCGCAAUGGGCGAAAGCCUGACGGAGCAACGCCGCGUGAGUGAUGAAGGUCUUCGGAUCGUAAAACUCUGUUAUUAGGGAAGAACAUAUGUGUAAGUAACUGUGCACAUCUUGACGGUACCUAAUCAGAAAGCCACGGCUAACUACGUG